GACAGAGGUGCCAAGCGUUAGGCGGAAUCACUGGGCUUAAAGCGUGUGUAGGCGGAUCGUUAAGUACCUUGUGAAAUCCCACGGCUCAACCGUGGAACUGCUGGGUAUACUGGCGAUCUUGAGCCACCUAGGGGCGAGCGGAACAAGCGGUGGAGCGGUGAAAUGCGUAGAUAUCGCUUGGAACGCCAAUGGUGAAAACAGCUCGCUGGGGGGUGUGCUGACGCUGAGACACGAAAGCCAGGGGAGCGAACGGG
rnacentral:rRNA from 1 species